rfam:Parastrongyloides trichosuri strain KNP genome assembly, scaffold: PTRK_scaffold0000047
CUAACGGCACUUCUGGGUGCCACAAAUCUAUACUUAAAACUAUUCU